ensembl:snRNA U6 U6 spliceosomal RNA
GUGCUCACUUUGGCAGCACAUAUACUAAAAUUGAAACGAUACAGAGAAGAUUAGCAUAUCCCCUAUGCAAAAAUAACACACAAAAUAGAAAUAACAGUUAUACUACU